rnacentral:rRNA from 1 species
GGAUUCCCCUAGUAACGGCGAGUGAACCGGGAAGAGCUCAAAUUUGAAAUCUGGCGUCCUCAGGGCGUCCGAGUUGUAAUCUAUAGAGGCGUUUUCCGUGCCGGACCGUGUCCAAGUUCCUUGGAACAGGAUAUCAAAGAGGGUGACAAUCCCGUACUUGACACGACGACCGGUGCUCUGUGAUACGUCUUCUACGAGUCGAGUUGUUUGGGAAUGCAGCUCAAAAUGGGUGGUGAGUUCCAUCUAAAGCUAAAUAUUGGCGAGAGACCGAUAGCGAACAAGUACCGUGAGGGAAAGAUGAAAAGCACUUUGGAAAGAGAGUUAAACAGUACGUGAAAUUGUUGAAAGGGAAACGAUUGAAGUCAGUCGUGACCGAGAGGCUCAGCCGGCUCUGCCGGUGUAUUCCCCUCGGUCGGGUCAACAUCAGUUUUGUCCGGUGGAUAAGGGCGGUAGGAAGGUGGCACCCUCGGGUGUGUUAUAGCCUGCCGUCGCAUACAUCGGGUGAGACUGAGGAACGCAGCUCGCCUUUAUGGCCGGGGUUCGCCCACGUCCGAGCUUAGGAUGUUGACAUAAUGGCUUUAAACGACCCGUCUUGAAACACG